rnacentral:rRNA from 1 species
UAGAGUUUGAUCCUGGCUCAGGAUGAACGCUAGCUACAGGCCUAACACAUGCAAGUCGUGGGGAAACGACCGUGGUGCUUGCACCACGGGGCGUCGACCGGCGCAUGGGUGAGUAACGCGUAUCCAACCUGCCCAUGAGUGGGGAAUAACCCGUGGAAACGCGGCCUAAUGCCCCAUGUAGCGCGAAGCGGACAUCUAACUCGCGCCAAAGGUUCGCCGCUCAUGGAUGGGGAUGCGUCCGAUUAGGCAGCAGGCGGGGCGACGGCCCACCUGGCCGACGAUCGGUAGGGGUUCUGAGAGGAAGGCCCCCCACAUUGGGACUGAGACACGGCCCAAACUCCUACGGGAGGCAGCAGUGAGGGAUAUUGGUCAAUGGCCGAGAGGCUGAACCAGCCAAGUAGCGUGCAGGAGGACGGCCCUAUGGGUUGUAAACUGCUUUUGUACGGGGACAAAGUGCGCGACGUGUCGCCCAUUGCGGGUACCGUACGAAUAAGGACCGGCUAAUUCCGUGCCAGCAGCCGCGGUAAUACGGAAGGUCCGGGCGUUAUCCGGAUUUAUUGGGUUUAAAGGGAGCGCAGGCCGCCUGUCAAGCGUGUUGUGAAAUGUAGGGGCCCAACCCCUGAGUUGCAGCGCGAACUGGCGGGCUUGAGUACGCACAACGCUGGUGGAACUCGCCGUGUAGCGGUGAAAUGCUUAGAUAUGGCGAAGAACUCCGAUUGCGAAGGCAGCUGGCGGGGGCGCAACUGACGCUCGUGCUCGAAAGUGCGGGUAUCGAACAGGAUUAGAUACCCUGGUAGUCCGCACGGUAAACGAUGGAUGCCCGCUAUGCGCGCGUUGGCGUGCGUGGCCAAGCGAAAGCGUUAAGCAUCCCACCUGGGGAGUACGCCGGCAACGGUGAAACUCAAAGGAAUUGACGGGGGCCCGCACAAGCGGAGGAACAUGUGGUUUAAUUCGAUGAUACGCGAGGAACCUUACCCGGGCUUGAAUUGCUGAGGAAAGAUCCAGAGAUGGUGAUGCCCUUCGGGGCCUCAGUGAAGGUGCUGCAUGGUUGUCGUCAGCUCGUGCCGUGAGGUGUCGGCUCAAGUGCCAUAACGAGCGCAACCCCUCUCCGUAGUUGCCAUCAGGUAGUGCUGGGCACUCUGCGGACACUGCCACCGUAAGGUGUGAGGAAGGUGGGGAUGACGUCAAAUCAGCACGGCCCUUACGUCCGGGGCUACACACGUGUUACAAUGGCCGGUACAGAGAGCCGGUGGCCCGCAAGGUCGCGCGAAUCCCGAAAUCCGGCCCCAGUUCGGACCGGGGUCUGCAACCCGACCCCGCGAAGCUGGAUUCGCUAGUAAUCGCGCAUCAGCCAUGGCGCGGUGAAUACGUUCCCGGGCCUUGCACACACCGCCCGUCA